rnacentral:rRNA from 1 species
CUUGCCCUAUAUAAGAGGUCCAGCCUGCCCAGUGACAUUGUUCAACGGCCGCGGUAUCCUAACCGUGCGAAGGUAGCGUAAUCACUUGUUCUUUAAAUGAGGACUAGUAUGAAAGGCACCACGAGAGUCAUACUGUCUCCUUUCUCUAAUCAGUGAAACUAAUCUCCCCGUGAAGAAGCGGGAAUAAAAUUAUAAGACGAGAAGACCCUAUGGAGCUUAAAACAAAUAAUACUUGCCUACCUAACCCUUAAUUUCAGAAAAACCCCCUACUCUGGCAUUAUACUUAUUAGUUUUUGGUUGGGGUGACCACGGAACAAAAAAUAACCUCCGCAGUGAAAGACACUCCUCCACAAGUCAAGGGCCACAAUCCUACACAUUAACAAAUUGACACCAAUUGACCCAAUAUGUUGAUCAAUGAAC